UCAGACGAUGCGUCAUGCAUAUCAAUAAGCGGAGGAAAAGAAACUAACAAGGAUUCCCCUAGUAACGGCGAGUGAAGCGGGAAGAGCUCAAAUUUGAAAUCUUAAAGGGUUUCCCUUUACGAAUUGUAGUUUAAAGAAGUGUUUUCUGUUGAGGUUUUGGUAAAAGUUCUUUGGAAUAGGACAUCAUAGAGGGUGAGAAUCCCGUAUUUGACCUUUACUUUCAACUUUGUGAUACACUUUCAAAGAGUCGGAUUGUUUGGGAAUGCAGUCCAAAAUGGGUGGUAAAUUUCAUCUAAAGCUAAAUAUUGGCGAGAGACCGAUAGCGAACAAGUACCGUGAGGGAAAGAUGAAAAGAACUUUGAAAAGAGAGUUAAACAGUACGUGAAAUUGUCAAAAGGGAAGCGUUUGACACCAGUGUUGUUUUUCUGAAAAUCAAUUAAAGAACUGUUUAUGCUAAGUUGUUUAGACUUUAUCAGCUAUCUGUUUAGUUUUGAGCUUUUCUUUAAUGCACUUUUCAGUUAACAAGUCAACAGUCAAUUUCUUUUGCUGUAAAAAAGCUUGAGGAAGGUGGCUUGAGAUUCGUCUUAAGUGUUUAUAGCCUCUUGCCUAUGCAGUCGGAGAGAUUGAGGUCUGCAGCGUAGAUCCUUCGGGGCUAAAUGCAUUUGUGCUAAGUUAUAGCAUUUUAUAGACAACUUGUUGACUAUGAUUUGUCUUGUAGCUUACUCGCUUAUGUUAUUUUACCUACGCUUAGGAUGUUGAGCGCAUGUCUCUCUCU
rnacentral:rRNA from 1 species